rnacentral:rRNA from 1 species
UACGAACCGUGCGAACGUUGUUCGGAAUCACUGGGCAUAAAGGGCGCGUAGGCGGCUUUUCAAGUCAGGGGUGAAAUCCGGCAGCUCAACUGUCGAAGUGCCUUUGAUACUGGGAAGCUCGAGGGAGGUAGGGGUGUGUGGAACUUCCGGUGGAGCGGUGAAAUGCGUUGAUAUCGGAAGGAACGCCGGUGGCGAAAGCGACGCACUGGACCUCUUCUGACGCUGAGGCGCGAAAGCCAGGGGAGCAAACGGG